UCCGGUUUGUCACCGGCAGUCUCCUUAGAGUCCCCAACUUAAGGCUGGUAACUAAGGACAAGGGUUGCGCUCGUUGCGGGACUUAACCCAACAUCUCACGACACGAGCUGACGACAACCAUGCACCACCUGUCUCCGUGGUCCCGAAGGACAAUCCUACUUUCAUAGGUAGUCACGGGAUGUCAAGCCCUGGUAAGGUUCUUCGCGUUGCAUCGAAUUAAACCACAUGCUCCACCGCUUGUGCGGGCCCCCGUCAAUUCCUUUGAGUUUCAAUCUUGCGACCGUACUCCCCAGGCGGGAUACUUAUUGCGUUAACUCCGGCACAGAAGGAAUCGAACCUCCUACACCUAGUAUCCAUCGUUUACGGCGUGGACUAC
rnacentral:misc_RNA from 1 species